CGCUGUCUCAGGCGCCGCUCCAGAAUCUCCCAUAAUUGUUCGAUUGGGUUAAGAUCUGGUGACUGAGACUUUUGAACAAUUUCUCCAUUACCAGGGUUUUGUCUAGAAGGUAUACAGCAUUUGUCCGAAAUGUACUUUUCAUACCAGGUUUAGGAGACUUUACGCAGCAGGUUAGGAGAAUUGGGUUAGCGAAAAUGCGCAAAAAAAAACUUUUGACAACAACUGUAUCCCAUCUAGACAUGACCCAUUACCAUCUGCCCACGAGAGAUGACCACAGGUGGAAAACAGAUUAACACAAGUGGAAGUGUCCAACAAGCGCGCUAUAUUUAUCUGCUUCUUUAUUGGACAACCCACUGACUACGUAACCCCGCUAAACUCGAACAUUAACAAAACCUUCGCUGCAUCUAUUUUAGCACCUUGACCAGAGAUUCAACCAGGCAUGGUAAUUUAACUAUUUUCUGCUUGUUUCUUUUGAAAGACUACAUUUAACAGCUGGCUUCUCUAUAGUGUGAAAUGGAUUAUCAACGCCAUAUUACCUCAUGUCCUUUGAGAAUAUUUUGCCUUUUUAAUCUGGUAUGCUCUGUAUUGUUGUCCAGCUGUCCUCAUAUCUGUGACCCAGGCUUCUUCAUUAACAAGUGUAAGUGUGUCUCUUGUCCCGAUGGCAAGUACUUGUACAUGCAGAACGGCCUUCCGAAGUGUGACCAG